CUCUCCGGUGGGUCUUGGAUUGCGUGGAAGAGCUACUUCUGUAGCCGCGGCGGAGUUUGGCGUGUUUGUGCAACAGCCAGCACCUUCCCUAAAUAUCCCCCCUCAUGCGCAGCGUGACUGACUGCUGGCGUGGGAUCGCUCCGCCGGGGGACCUUCGGGGUGCAGUUGCGGGUUUGCUUUCUGGACUCAUCUACGGCUGGGGGAGACUCCCACCCUCCGGGUUGCUGUGACUGUGCCUUGGCUUGCAGGGUGAGGCCCUGCUCCUUCGUCGGCCGUCAUUGGCCACCACGCCUCAGACGGACCUGCUGUUUUGGCUUUUACUGGAAAUUGCACUGUCCUAAACAACACUCUUAUGAACUGUUGCGGCUGAUAAGAGCACGGCUCCACAGUUAAAGACUGCCUGGCUCAGGACCAAGGAAGUGUGUCGUUUUUAAAAAGUAUUGUCUCAUGCACUGUGGCUCUCCACGCUACACCUUCACGGUGCGUGGAGUGAUCACCACGGAGGGACGCCUAGUUUUUAGCAACCUUUAAUCCCAUUUACAUUGUGUUCAUAUUGGUUGGUAUUUGGCUUAUUUUGUGGUUUUGUUGUUCUGUUUUGUUUUGUUGUUUUCAAUUCUGACAUGUUUUAAUUAUUUUUAUUGUUGGUCAGGUGCUGUGGGCCUGAG